rnacentral:rRNA from 1 species
AGAGUUUGAUCCUGGCUCAGAACGAACGCUGGCGGCAUGCCUAACACAUGCAAGUCGAACGAACCCUUCGGGGUUAGUGGCGCACGGGUGCGUAACGCGUGGGAACCUGCCUUUAGGUUCGGAAUAACUCAGAGAAAUUUGAGCUAAUACCGGAUAAUGUCUUCGGACCAAAGAUUUAUCGCCUUUAGAUGGGCCCGCGUUAGAUUAGAUAGUUGGUGGGGUAAUGGCCUACCAAGUCGACGAUCUAUAGCUGGUCUGAGAGGAUGAUCAGCCACACUGGGACUGAGACACGGCCCAGACUCCUACGGGAGGCAGCAGUGGGGAAUAUUGGACAAUGGGCGAAAGCCUGAUCCAGCAAUGCCGCGUGAGUGAUGAAGGCCUUAGGGUUGUAAAGCUCUUUUACCAGGGAUGAUAAUGACAGUACCUGGAGAAUAAGCUCCGGCUAACUCCGUGCCAGCAGCCGCGGUAAUACGGAGGGAGCUAGCGUUGUUCGGAAUUACUGGGCGUAAAGCGCGCGUAGGCGGCUAUCCAAGUCAGGGGUGAAAUCCCGGGGCUCAACCCCGGAACUGCCUCUGAAACUAGGUAGCUAGAAUACUGGAGAGGUGAGUGGAAUUCCGAGUGUAGAGGUGAAAUUCGUAGAU